CUGUGGGGCAUUUUUUUUUUUUUUAAAGGUGCUUCUUGAUUCAAGUUCCUCCAUGGGUGAGGAGUGUUUUGAUAAAGACUGCAAAAUGAAGCGAAUUGAUGCCAUCAAACAAAUAUUUGAUAGCUUUGCAAACCGAUGCAUGGCUUAUAAUUUUGAUCAAGUAAUCUGCCUUGUGAAAUUCGACUUUCGUGUGAAAACUCUUCAUACAUUCACAGAAACAGUGGAAACAUUUAAGGAGCAUGUUCAUGGACUUCAGCCAUCUGGAACCACUUUAUUGUAUGAUGCUUUAAAUCAUGGAUGCCAAGAACUUAACCAAAUCAGACAGAGAUUUCCAGAUUGCAAAUGUCGCAUUUUAUGCCUGACAGAUGGAAAUGAUUGCGGAUCAAUAUCGAAUCCGGUUGACACUGCAAAAAAGCUGAUGGAUCAGAAAAUUGUUGUUGAUGCUGUGCUAAUUGGUGCAGUACAUAACACUGUGUUGCAUGGGAUCAGCAAUGUUACAGGUAACUUUUUAUAUAUACAAUAGGUAACAAGUCUUUUUAUACAGCUAUACUCAAUAUUGUGUUCAUUAGCUAAUUAUUGCUGCUAAAUUCUUUGUUUUGAGGUGGUUGCUGUUUUAAGCCUGAAACAAGCAAAGCAGCCUUGCAACUCUUUGAGAUGGAAACAGUCUUGUCAUUGGAACUAAGGAAGGAAAAGAAAUACUUUGAUAAAUCAUCAAUUAACAAAGUGGUAUAAUAUAGGACAUGGUUAUAUUUCAGUCAUAUAUAUACAGGUGCAUCUCAAUAAAUUAGAAUGUCAUGGAAAAGUUCA
ensembl:lncRNA